rnacentral:rRNA from 1 species
AAUUUAUCUAAUUGUAUUUUCAUUUUGUUAAUAGUUGUUAAUUAAUUAAAAUAAAUUUAUGUUGAUGUAAACUUAAUUAAAAUAAUUAUUUUUACUAUAAGGUAAGAGUACUGUGGAGGAAAUUUUGAAAUAUUAUUUAUAAUUAAGGGAAAUUAAUUUUAUUUAUUGUAUCUUGUGUAUCAGAGUGGAUUAAAAUGAAUUUUUUAUUAAAUUUUUCUCGAAGUUAAAAGAUUUAAUUGGGAAUGUUAAUUGAUGUAUCAAAAUCAUUAAAAAUUUCUAGUUGGUAAUGAAAUGUUAAUCGUUUUUAAGGAUAUCUAGUUUUUUAAGAAAUGAAUUUAAUUCAGAGAAUAUAAUUUAUAUUAGGUUUAUUAAUGUAAUUAUUUUAUGUUCUUACUUUUUAAGGGGAUUAACUCUUAAAAAUAUAAUUAUAAUGAAUAGUUUUUAUAGGAUUUUAUGGAUUUAGAAUUUGUUUUUAUUUUAAGGAUGUUAAAAUAUAUUUCUUGUUAUGUAGAAUUUAUUUUUUAUUUAAUUUGUUUAUUAAAAUGUAAAGUGGAAUUUGUAAGCUUUAAUAAGAAUGAUUUAAUUAGUAAAAUUAAUUGAAGUAUAUCAUUUAAUUAAUAGACUGGUAUUUUAAAAUAAGGAAUUAAGCAAAAAUUUUACUCGCCUGUUUAUUAAAAACAUGGUUUCUUGAUAUUUUAUUGUAUAAGAGAUCUGACCUGCCCACUGAAAAAUUUGAAGGGCCGCAGUAUUUUGACUGUGCAAAGGUAGCAUAAUCAUUAGUCUUUUAAUUGAAGGCUGGAAUGAAUGGUUGGACGAGGUAAAACCUGUCUUAUUUUUUAAUGUAAAUUGAAUUUAAAUUUUAAGUAAAAAUGCUUAAAUGUGAUUAAGGGACGAGAAGACCCUAUAGAGUUUAAUAUUCGUAAUUUUAAUUGAGUUUAAGCUUAAUUUUUGAUUACUAUAAAGAAUAUUUAAUUGGGGUGAUUAGAAGAUACAUGAAACUCUUCUUUAAUUUUAAUAAAAUAAGUAAAUUGAAGAUCCAUUAAUAAUGAUUAUAAGAUUAAAUUACCUUAGGGAUAACAGCAUAAUUCUUUUUGAGAGUUCUAAUCGAGAAGGGAGCUUGUGACCUCGAUGUUGGACUAAGAUAAAUUGUGGGUGCAGAAGUUCACUAAUUAAGUCUGUUCGACUUUUAAAUUCUUACAUGAUYUGAGUUUAAACCGGUGUAAGCCAGGUUGGUUUCUAUCUUUAAUAUAUUAAAAUAUUUUAGUACGAAAGGACCAAAUAUUUGAAAUAAUUUUUUGAAAAUUGAGUAUUAUUAAUU